AUGGUAUUGAUGUCCUCAUCAGUCAGCGAGCUUGCGCCGGCCGUCCUCGCCUUGGUCCCCAAGCGCCGGAGGCGUACGACGACCGUUGCGCAGGGCAUCCAUAACAGGGCCUGGGUGGGAGACAUCCAGGGUGCCUUGGGGCCGGCUGCGAUGGUUCAAUACAUCGAGCUUUGGCGCGCCCUGCAGCCCGUAACCCUAACUCUCGACCCCGACGUGUUACGCUGGAAGUGGACCGACUUGGGCAUCUACACUGCGAAUUCCUGCUACCGAGCCAUGUUCGCUGGCUCCACCAUCACGCCCAGCUCGAAACUCAUCUGGCGCACGUGG
rnacentral:rRNA from 1 species